GCGCCCAUAGUUCAGUGGAUAGAAUAUUUGAUUGCGGUUCAAAUGGUCGAAGGUUCGAUUCCUUCUGGGCGUACCA
rnacentral:tRNA from 1 species